rnacentral:lncRNA from 1 species
UCACGCUGAUGUGUUGAGUGCUAGUGUUUUUAGCUUUGCUUGAAAUCUUCACUGGUGCAUUUGGUGUGAAGUCGAGUCCAGCUUUGUUGUUGUCAACUUCGUAACCAUGCUUAUUCAAUUUCUUUUGAGUCCUGGUGAUGUUGCGUUCUUUGUCAUUGACGGUGUUUGAAACCUUCUUUCCAGGAUUCGAAGAGGAAGCGAAGUUGUACCCAGCCUUCGACAUGAGUUUGUAGGCGUUUGGAUCAAAACCUUCUUCGAUCCUCUUGGUUGGAAGAAAGCUUGGUUCCA